UACGUAGGCAGCGAGCGUUGUUCGGAGUUACUGGGCGUAAAGGGUGUGUAGGCGGUUGUUUUAAGUUUGGUGUGAAAUCUCCCGGCUCAACUGGGAGGGUGCGCCGAAUACUGAAUGACUAGAGUGCGGGAGAGGAAAGUGGAAUUCCUGGUGUAGCGGUGAAUGCGUAGAUAUCAGGAGGAACACCGGUGGUGUAGACGGCUUUCUGGACCGUAACUGACGCUGAGACACGAAAGCGUGGGUAGCAAAACAGG
rnacentral:rRNA from 1 species